GAAUUCCCGUUGAUCCUGCGGGCGAUUGCUGCUAUUGGGAUUCGACUAAGCCAUGCAUGUCUAGGGUAGCAAUACACUGGCAAAAGGCUCAGUAACACGUCGAUAAUCUUCCCUGAGGUCAUGGAUAACCAUGGGAAACUGUGGCUAAACCGUGAUAGAGAAAAGAAUCUGGAACGAUCUUUUCUCGAAACUCGUGCCUCAGGAUGAGUUGGCGGCGGAUUAGGUUGUUGGUCGAGGUAAAGGCUCACCAAGCCCAUGAUCCGUAGGGGCCCUGAGAGGGGUAGCCCCGAGAAGGUCACUGAGACACUGGACCUAGCCCCACGGGGUGCAGCAGGCGCGGAACCUUUACAAUGCACGCAAGUGUGAUAAGGGGAUCCCAAGUGCUUAUGUUUUACAUAGGCUUUUGUGAAGGGUAAAAACCUUGACGAAUAAGUGGUGGGAAAGACUGGUGCCAGCAGCCGCGGUAACACCAGCGCCACAAGUGGCAAUCGACAUUAUUGGGCCUAAAGCGUCCGUAGCCGGUUUUGUAAAUCUUCUGUGAAAUUGUCAGGCCUAACCUGGCAACGUGCAGGAGACACUGCAAAACUUGGGACUGGGAGGCGUCAGAGGUAUGUCUAGGGGAGCGGUAAAAUGUGAUAAUCCUAGACAGACUACCUGUGGCGAAGGCGUCUGAC
rnacentral:rRNA from 1 species